rnacentral:ncRNA from 1 species
GACGGAUUCCAAAUUACCGGAUGCUCAAUCGGGUUACGAAAAAGGGUAUACCGUCACCCUUGCGGCUCAUUCGGGAGCGAACCUGAUUUAUGAAUCU